rnacentral:rRNA from 1 species
AUACAUGCAAGUCGAACGCUUUUUCUUUCACCGGAGCUUGCUCCACCGAAAGAAAAGGAGUGGCGAACGGGUGAGUAACACGUGGGUAACCUGCCCAUCAGAAGGGGAUAACACUUGGAAACAGGUGCUAAUACCGUAUAACAAUCGAAACCGCAUGGUUUCGGUUUGAAAGGCGCUUUUGCGUCACUGAUGGAUGGACCCGCGGUGCAUUAGCUAGUUGGUGAGGUAACGGCUCACCAAGGCAACGAUGCAUAGCCGACCUGAGAGGGUGAUCGGCCACAUUGGGACUGAGACACGGCCCAAACUCCUACGGGAGGCAGCAGUAGGGAAUCUUCGGCAAUGGACGGAAGUCUGACCGAGCAACGCCGCGUGAGUGAAGAAGGUUUUCGGAUCGUAAAACUCUGUUGUUAGAGAAGAACAAGGAUGAGAGUAGAAUGUUCAUCCCUUGACGGUAUCUAACCAGAAAGCCACGGCUAACUACGUGCCAGCAGCCGCGGUAAUACGUAGGUGGCAAGCGUUGUCCGGAUUUAUUGGGCGUAAAGCGAGCGCAGGCGGUUUCUUAAGUCUGAUGUGAAAGCCCCCGGCUCAACCGGGGAGGGUCAUUGGAAACUGGGAAACUUGAGUGCAGAAGAGGAGAGUGGAAUUCCAUGUGUAGCGGUGAAAUGCGUAGAUAUAUGGAGGAACACCAGUGGCGAAGGCGGCUCUCUGGUCUGUAACUGACGCUGAGGC